rnacentral:rRNA from 1 species
UAUUAAAGGUCAAACCUGCCCAGUGAACCAUGUUUUUAACGGCCGCGGUACCCUAACCGUGCAAAGGUAGCAUAAUCACUUGUCCCUUAAUUAGAGACUUGUAUGAACGGUUAAAUGAGGGCACAACUGUCUCCUGUGGCCAAUCAAUGAAAUUGAUCUUACAGUACAAACGCUGUAAUAUGACUAUAAGACGAGAAGACCCUGUGGAGCUUUAAAUUAAUAUAUUAAUUAACUCCUAAACCACUAUAAUAUAAUAUAAAAUUUUAAGUUGGGGCGACUGUGGAGCAAAAAAAAACCUCCAUGAAAUACGACUCACAAUCGCCAGGAAAGGCUAACACGCCCCCCCCAAAUAAUCCAUGACCCAGUCAGACUGACCAUCGAACCAAGUUACCCCAGGGAUAACAGCGCCAUCCCCUUAAAGAGUUCCCAUCGCUAAGGGGGUUUACGACCUCGAUGUUGGAUCAGGACCCCCAAGCGGUGCAGCAGCUGCUAAAGGUUCGUUUGUUCAACGAA